rnacentral:rRNA from 1 species
GACUCUCGGCAACGGAUAUCUCGGCUCUCGCAUCGAUGAAGAACGUAGCGAAAUGCGAUACUUGGUGUGAAUUGCAGAAUCCCGUGAACCAUCGAGUCUUUGAACGCAAGUUGCGCCCGAAGCCUUUAGGCCAAGGGCACGUUUGCAUGGGCGUCACGCAUC